rnacentral:lncRNA from 1 species
CCUGUCUUUGUGUUUCAGGAGACCUCCAUGAGCACUCUGGGCACCGAGAGGCUAGGUCAUAUUGUUAGUGAUCCACGCCAGAAAGAUUUUUGGUUACCGUCCAUGGGGAAGAGAGAUCGCAACCAGGUAAGCUGACUCUGCUCUGCCUUUUUUAUUUUCUUGGUUUCCUUCUCUCUAGAAAGAACAAAGUGCCGGCUUCUGAUUUCCCACACACUGUGGCCUGUGCACAUGAGUUCAAUCCAUUAUCUCCUCUGUACUCUCUGGAUGUGCUUGCUGAUGCUUCCCACCGAAGAUGCUCACCAGCACACUGCACUGCCAGGUAACUCCUUUGCUCUGCUCUGUUGGGGUUGUCUCACUUCCCUGCCAUGGUUAUCUUCAGUAGUACUAUGUGGUCUGAACGAUGCUUAUGGACCUGGAAGUUAAUGUGCUUUUCCCUAGGAAGCCUGUGUUCAAACUUAGCAUAAAACAUAUGGGUGCAGGUUUUUUGAGAGUCUCAAU